rnacentral:lncRNA from 1 species
UGACCUGUUUUUGGUGUCUCAAUUCGACACAAACGUGAGCGACGUCUGGGUGUCGCUCUGGGAACCUCGCUGUGAGCUGGAGCGACUUCAUGGCCUCGCUCUGAGAGCGAUUUUUCUUGAUCCGACGCCAAAAUUGCGAGUGACCUCGCUGCGUCGCUCCCAGCUGGAGCGACUUCAUGUGCUCGCUCCAGGACCUCGCUCCCACGCAUGAUUUUUGGUCAAACCUGAGUCGAUCAACUGAGCACCUGCACACAACUUCUCUUUUUUUUUUUUUAUGCAAUAAGAUGAAAAUGAAAAUACCAAUGCAAUAUAUACAAGGAUACGCAUGGGACUUCCUCCCAAGUGAGCUUGUUUUAAGUCUCUAACUUGACUUUGCCUCCUUUUGGAU